AGUGAACGCUGGCGGUAGGCCUAACACAUGCAAGUCGAACGGCAGCACAGUAAGAGCUUGCUCUUACGGGUGGCGAGUGGCGGACGGGUGAGGAAUACAUCGGAAUCUACUUUUUCGUGGGGGAUAACGUAGGGAAACUUACGCUAAUACCGCAUACGACCUACGGGUGAAAGCAGGGGAUCUUCGGACCUUGCGCGAUUGAAUGAGCCGAUGUCGGAUUAGCUAGUUGGCGGGGUAAAGGCCCACCAAGGCGACGAUCCGUAGCUGGUCUGAGAGGAUGAUCAGCCACACUGGACCUGAGACACGGUCCAGACUCCUACGGGAGGCACCAGUGGGGAAUAUUGGACAAUGGGCGCAAGCCUGAUCCAGCCCUACCGCGUGGGUGAAGAAGGCCUUCGGGUUGUAAAGCCCUUUUGUUGGGAAAGAAAAGCAGCAGGUUAAUACCCCGCUGUUCUGACGGUACCCAAAGAAUAAGCACCGGCUAACUUCGUG
rnacentral:rRNA from 1 species